GCUGGCGGCAUGCCUAACACAUGCAAGUCGAACGCCUGUAGCAAUACAGGAGUGGCGCACGGGUGAGUAACGCGUGGGAACCUGCCCUGGAGUGAGGGAUAACCGAGGGAAACCUCGGCUAAUACCGCAUACGCCCUAAGGCCGUGGAGGUUUUGGGGGAAAGAUUUAUCGCUCUAGGAGGGGCCCGCGUCGGAUUAGCUAGUUGGUGAGGUAACGGCUCACCAAGGCGAUGAUCCGUAGCUGGUCUGAGAGGAUGAUCAGCCACACUGGGACUGAGACACGGCCCAGACUCCUACGGGAGGCAGCAGUGGGGAAUAUUGGACAAUGGGGGCAACCCUGAUCCAGCAAUGCCGCGUGAGUGAUGAAGGCCUUAGGGUUGUAAAGCUCUUUCGGCGGGGACGAUGAUGACGGUACCCGCAGAAGAAGCCCCGGCUAACUUC
rnacentral:rRNA from 1 species